GGGGCUUUUGCAAAAAAGUCUAGUGAUCUGAGGGAGGAACGAAUGGCUUCAAUAAGGAACUCUAUACUUGUACCUGUCUCUUUCAAUUCA